CAUUUAAUUUCCUAUAAUCUAUUCGCCAGUGAGGUUUUCUGAAAGAGUCUGACUUCUUUGGAACUAUCCAUACGGGAGAAUUAUACGGCGAUGCUGAGGGUUGAAUAAUAUUGUCGCUGAACAAGGUAUCUACCUGUUUCUGUAUUUCGGGUUUAUGAAUCAAUGGAAAACGAUACUGUUUGGUAUUAAUGGGUAUUUCAUCAGUAGUUACUAUAGAGUGCUGACUGGUGUUAGAACAACCUAAUCUAUCUGCGGAAAGGUGAAAUUGGGACUGAAAUUAGGACCUUACUGCGUGGAGGAAGAUCGAAUGAUGUAAAUGCUGAAGAAGACUGUACCUUUUUUCCAAUUUCAAGACUAUUCGGAAGCUUGUCUCUGAAUACUACCGUAGCAUCCUGUUUCUGGAGAAAGGAAACCCCAACCAUUCCAGUUUGCUUUAUUUAAAAAUCAUUAUCAACGACUUGGAAGUUAAUGGAGAUUUGAUUAAUAGGGAUAAUAACCUCACCACAAGUCUGAAUUAUUCCCGGACAGAUUCCAUGAUCCAGUGUCUACAAGGAAAUUGGCAUAACCAUCGCAGAAAAAUCCAUGUUCCAGUCAAAUUACUAAUGAACUGGGCUCUGAGAAACUUGAACAGUGGGCGAUACAAUGGUAUCUACGCGCGCAAUUAAGGGUUUGCCCUGCGAUGCGCUUG